rnacentral:rRNA from 1 species
GACGAACGCUGGCGGCGUGCUUAACACAUGCAAGUCGAACGCAGUGGCGCACGGGUGAGUAACGCGUAAUCAACCUGCCCUUCAGAGGGGGAAAACAGUUGGAAACGACUGCUAAUCCCGCAUACUGAAGGAGGGGAUUGCGUCUGAUUUGCUAGUUGGAGGGGUAACGGCCCACCAAGGCGAUGAUCAGUAGCCGGGCUGAGAGGGUGAACGGCCACACUGGGACUGAGACACGGCCCAGACUCCUUCGGGAGGCAGCAGUGGGGAAUCUUCCGCAAUGGACGGAAGUCUGACGGAGCAACGCCGCGGGAGUGAUGACGGCCUUCGGGUUGUAAAGCUCUGUUAAGCGGGACGCGGUACCGGAAUAGAAAGCCACGGCUAACUACGUGCCAGCAGCCGCGGUAAUAC